rnacentral:rRNA from 1 species
UGCAAGUCGAGCGGUAGAGAGAAGCUUGCUUCUCUUGAGAGCGGCGGACGGGUGAGUAAUGCCUAGGAAUCUGCCUGGUAGUGGGGGAUAACGUCCGGAAACGGACGCUAAUACCGCAUACGUCCUACGGGAGAAAGCAGGGGACCUUCGGGCCUUGCGCUAUCAGAUGAGCCUAGGUCGGAUUAGCUAGUUGGUGAGGUAAUGGCUCACCAAGGCGACGAUCCGUAACUGGUCUGAGAGGAUGAUCAGUCACACUGGAACUGAGACACGGUCCAGACUCCUACGGGAGGCAGCAGUGGGGAAUAUUGGACAAUGGGCGAAAGCCUGAUCCAGCCAUGCCGCGUGUGUGAAGAAGGUCUUCGGAUUGUAAAGCACUUUAAGUUGGGAGGAAGGGCAUUAACCUAAUACGUUAGUGUUUUGACGUUACCGACAGAAUAAGCACCGGCUAACUCUGUGCCAGCAGCCGCGGUAAUACAGAGGGUGCAAGCGUUAAUCGGAAUUACUGGGCGUAAAGCGCGCGUAGGUGGUUUGUUAAGUUGGAUGUGAAAGCCCCGGGCUCAACCUGGGAACUGCAUUCAAAACUGACAAGCUAGAGUAUGGUAGAGGGUGGUGGAAUUUCCUGUGUAGCGGUGAAAUGCGUAGAUAUAGGAAGGAACACCAGUGGCGAAGGCGACCUGGACUGAUACUGACACUGAGGUGCGAAAGCGUGGGGAGCAAACAGGAUUAGAUACCCUGGUAGUCCACGCCGUAAACGAUGUCAACUAGCCGUUGGGAGCCUUGAGCUCUUAGUGGCGCAGCUAACGCAUUAAGUUGACCGCCUGGGGAGUACGGCCGCAAGGUUANACUC